rnacentral:tRNA from 1 species
GGGCUCGUAGUCCAGUGGUAAGACACUACCCUCACACGGUAGGGAUCUGAGUUCGAUUCUCAGCGGGCCCA